rnacentral:ncRNA from 2 species
AUGUAAGUAGGAUUAAUCGGUUCUGGUGGGGAGCAGCCACUAGAGGUAAGGGGGAAAGUUUGGUGAAAAUCCGUCACUGUCCCGCAGCUGUAAUCAUCUUGGGAAGAAAAUCCAUCCUCCAAUGAUGUAAGUCAGAAUGCCCGCCGAUAGGUUCAUUUCAUG